AUUGAACGCUGGCGGCAGGCCUAACACAUGCAAGUCGAGCGAGGGGCGGACGGGUGCGUAAUGCCUGGGAAUUGCACAGUCGCGGGGGAUAACAGUUGGAAACGAAUGCUAAUACGGAAUACGAAUUGAUGGCCAAGGUUGGAUUAGCUAGUUGGUGGGGUAAUGGCUCACAAAGGGGACGAGCCCUAGCUGGUCGGAGAGGAGGAUCAGCCACACUGUAACUGAGACACGUUCCAGACGCCUACGCGAGGCAUCAGUUGGGAAUAUUGCACAAUGGGGAAAACCCUGAUGCAGCCAUGCCGCGUGUGUGAAGAAGGCCUUCGGGUUGUAAAGCACUUUCAUCGAGGAGGCGUUACUCGCAGAAUAAGCCCCGGCUAACUCCGUGCCAGCAGCCGCGGUAAUAC
rnacentral:rRNA from 1 species